rnacentral:rRNA from 1 species
GCUUACGGCCAUACCACCCUGAAUGCGCCUGAUCUCAUCUGAUCUCGGAAGCUAAGCAGGGUCACGCCUGGUUAGUACUUGGAUGGGAGACCGCCUGAGAAUACCAGGUGCUGUAAGCU